GGGGUUGUAGUUAAAUUUUAACACUUAAUUUGCAAUUAAGAGAUACUAAUAAGUCUACCUCA
rnacentral:tRNA from 2 species